UUAUUUCUUCAUCCACUUCGUAUCUUCAGGCAUCAGGUCUGAGCUUUUGGAAAGAAGAAUUGCACAGAUAAUACGGGACAAGAUUCAUGCAGAACGGAACCCACCGCUUCCCCAAACUGACUUCGCCACCACAACUCAGAGGGAUUUUCGAGUCGAGGGAUUUGUACCCCAAACGACUAAAAUCAACCGAUUUCAUGAUUAUACAACUGAGCAGGCCAUCAGCUAUUGGAGUGAAAAUUACCAGAGGAUACAGGUGGGUCACAAUUGCUCGGGGAAU